rnacentral:rRNA from 1 species
GAUCCUGGCUCAGGAUGAACGCUAGCUACAGGCUUAACACAUGCAAGUCGAGGGGCAGCAUGAUCAAAGCUUGCUUGAUUGAUGGCGACCGGCGCACGGGUGAGUAACGCGUAUCCAACCUUCCCCUUAGUAGGGCAUAGCCCGGCGAAAGUCGGAUUAAUACCCUAUGUUAUUCGUCGAGGACAUCUGAAGUGAAUCAAAGAUUUAUCGCUAAGGGAUGGGGAUGCGUCUGAUUAGGUUGUUGGCGGGGUAACGGCCCACCAAGCCAUCGAUCAGUAGGGGUUCUGAGAGGAAGGUCCCCCACAUUGGUACUGAGACACGGACCAAACUCCUACGGGAGGCAGCAGUGAGGAAUAUUGGUCAAUGGGCGAGAGCCUGAACCAGCCAAGUAGCCGUGCAGGAUGACUGCCCUAUGGGUUGUAAACUGCUUUUAUACGGGGAUAAAGUGAGGUAUGCAUACCUUUUUGUAGGUACCGUAUGAAUAAGGACCGGCUAAUUCCGUGCCAGCCGCCGC